GACGAACCGUGCGAACGUUAUUCGGAAUCACUGGGCUUAAAGCGCGUGUAGGCGGGCCGGCACGUCGGCUGCUGAAAUCCCCCGGCUCAACCGGGGAAGGGGCACCGAUACGACCGGCCUGGAGGGGGGUAGGGGGCGCCGGAACUUCCGGUGGAGCGGUGAAAUGCGUUGAGAUCGGAAGGAACGCCCGUGGCGAAAGCGGGCUCCUGGACCCCACCUGACGCUGAGACGCGAAAGCCAGGGGAGCGAACGGG
rnacentral:rRNA from 1 species